UAAAAAAAUAUAUUUCCAGCCAUCAAGUGACAAAAAAAAUUCUAUAGGUGUACAAAAAAAAAUAUUUUGCCCUUUAGAAAACCCCCGCCCCCCAUCACUUUUCUAAUGGUCCGUCCCUAUGAUUAACAGCAAUAGCACCUAAUUAUAAAAUUAAGUAACUACUACCACUAAUAUGUCAAUAUUAUAUAUUUACUGUUCAAUUUCAGUUUUCUAUGUUUCUAUGUUUUGUUUUUCAUCAGUCAUAAAGAGAUAAAACUUAACCCAUUGUAAAAUCAUCUGGCAUUAGACGGAGUAAAAUAAUAAAGUACGGCACAUUACGGCGCGAUGCAACUUAAUGGGUUGAUGAAAGAGAAGAUCACUGAGCUGAAUUUAAAAACAGCAUAACAGGCGAAAAACACAAAACCACGAAUACAGAGCGCGAAAAGGUGGACUAAUAUAAACAAAAAUGCUUUAGAGUUAAGUUUCAUAUUUUCUUUUUCACAUUAUAACAUGUUUUCUAAAGGGUGUUUUUUAAUUGACCGAAUUUUCAUUGUGACCAGAAUAAGGGAAUAUUGUAGAGAAUUUCUUUAGCCUUCAAUUUAAGCCUAAGUUAGUUUGUUUGCGUAUCAUGUUGGCGGCUAGAAUGUUCGUUAUCCAAACAAGUAAUUAUAUACUAAAAUGCGUAAAUUCUUCAGUACAUUUUACCGAAAUGGCAUGAGAUAAAAACCAAACAUACUUGCAGGUUCGGUGAGUCCGGGAUUGGACGCACCUCGGGUGGCUGGAAGUUUCCCGAACUCACCUCGUUUUGCUCGGUGCGUCCAAUCCAUGGCGGAGUGCUGACCUCCCUGCAAGUAUGUUUGUUAUAUUGCCACCACAGCUUAUAAUAAUAAUAAUAAUGGUUUAUUACAUUCACUAAAUAGCUUGACAAGCUAAAAUACAGUGAUGUUUACAGUGAUAGAACUUUUACAAUGAUAAAAUGUAAUGUAAAAAGUAUUAAUACUAUGGUCUCUACUUUACUAAAGCUAGUUCAAUGUAAAAAGUCUUAAAACUAUUGUCAUAUUUACAGAUAGAAUUAUAUUAUGUUAGUUAUUACUCACUAUAAUAUAUAAACCCUCAUGCUUACUUAGCAAUAUAAAGAUUAUAUUUGCCAAUUGCAUAUACAAUUGGACUAUGUUUAAAACGUUCUGUUUUACAUGCAAAGUUAUAGUACGUUGCCUCAUUCAUUCUCGUUUCUCGUUGCUUUAUUUGGGAAGUUUUCUUUGGUAAGAGGUGGUUAAGUUUAUGAUUCGGGUUUGACAUGACCUUAAUAAGUUGGACACACAUGUCAUCGCGUCGGUCGGUUAGCGUUUUGAGGUUCGAUUCCAUUAGUGCUUCAUGGUAUUUUAGUUCCGGAUAAAUUAUGCUUAACGCUCUUUUCUGGAUUCGCUCGAUAUCUUCGCUUUGCUCCAUUGUGAACCCGCCGUUCCAAACUUGGGCGCUAUAUUCCAAAACUGAUCUCACUACUGCUACGUAGAAAGUCUUCAGAGCUUCUUUUGAACUUCUUCAUAAAGUAUAGUCUCUUAGCUGCCUUUUUUGUGAUGUACUCAGUGUUCGUUUUCCAUUUAAGGUCAUCGUCGAACCAGAUACCCAGUAGCUUGUAAGAUCUUACUUUAGUGAGAGACUGCUCCCCUAAUGUAGUUGGGGGUAUAACCGUUUUAUUCUUACGAAAGUCGAUGUGCAUUUCUUUGCAUUUUUUAAAAUUCAGUUGCAUAUUUUCGUCGUUCGUAAAUUGUAAUACACUCUCCAAAUUACGUUGGGAGUUGCCGAUCGAUUCUCCAGAGAUAUGAUCGGAAACGUUUAAAACUUCAGACAUGGUAGUGUCAUCCAUAAACAUUGAAACAGUAUCACCGUUCUCAUCAGAUGACUGAACCACUGAUGGGAGAUCGUUUAUAUGAACUAUGAAGGCUAAGGGACCGAUUUUACUACCUUGUGACACCCCACCUUUAAUAUAUGCAGGGUCGGAAAAAGUGUUUCCGACUUUUGUAACUUGUGAUCUGCCUUGGAGGUAUGACCCGAGCCAAGCUAGCAAUGCUGGUCUCACACCUAUUUUCUCGAAGUUCUGGAGUAACUUAUUGUGGUCAAUUAGGUCGAACGCUUUUCGAAAAUCCAGGAAAAUUAUUCUCAC
rnacentral:lncRNA from 1 species